rnacentral:rRNA from 1 species
UUUCCGGUUGAUCCUGCCGGAGGUCACUGCUAUUGGAGUUCGAUUAAGCCAUGCGGGCCAAUAGUUCUUCGUGAACUAGGCGGACUGCUCAGUAACACGUGGGUAAUCUACCCUCGGGUCAGGGAUAACCCCGGGAAACUGGGGAUAAUACCUGAUAGGUGAAGUGUUCUGGAAUGAUACCUCGCCCAAAGCUUCUGUGCCCGAGGAUGAGCCUGCGGCCGAUUAGGUUGUUGGCGGUGUAACGGACCACCAAGCCCGUGAUCGGUACAGGUGGUGAGAGCCAUAGCCCGGAGAUGGGGGCUGAGACACGGCCCCAGGCCCUACGGGGCGCAGCAGGCGCGAAAACUACGCAAUGCGCGAAAGCGUGACGUGGGAACUCCAAGUGCCUUGCCUUAGGGUAAGGCUUUUGUUUAGUGUAAGUAGCUAUUCGAAUAAGUGCGGGGUAAGACCGGUGCCAGCCGCCGCGGUAACACCGGCCGCACAAGUGGUGACCGCUUUUAUUGGGCCUAAAGCGUUCGUAGCCGGUCCGGUAAGUCCUUGGGUAAAUCCUUCGGCUCAACCGAAGGAAUUCCGGGGAUACUGCUGGACUUGGAGUUGAGAGAAGUCAGGGGUACCUCCGGGGUAGGGGUGAAAUCCUAUAAUCCUGGGGGGACCACCAAUGGCGAAGGCGUCUGACUAGAGCAAGCUCGACGGUGAGGGACGAAAGCCAGGGGCGCGAACGGGAUUAGAUACCCCGGUAGUCCUGGCUGUAAACGCUGCGCGCUAGGUGUUACAUCCUCUACGAGGGGAUGUAGUGCCGAAGAGAAGUUGAUAAGCGUGCCGCCUGGGAAGUAUUACCGCAAGGUAGAAACUUAAAGGAAUUGGCGGGGGAGCACCACAAGGGGUGGAGUCUGCGGUUCAAUUGGAUUCAACGCCGGGA